rnacentral:rRNA from 1 species
AAAGGAAUUGACGGGGACCCGCACAAGCAGCGGAGCAUGUGGUUUAAUUCGAAGCAACGCGAAAAACCUUACCAAGACUUGACAUCCCUUGACCGAUGCAGAAAUGCAUUUUCCCUUCGGGGCAAGGAGACAGGUGGUGCAUGGUUGUCGUCAGCUCGUGUCGUGAGAUGUUCGGUUAAGUCCGGCAACGAGCGCAACCCUUAUGAUAUGUUGCCAAUAUUAAGUUAGGAACUCAUAUCAGACUGCCGUGGAUAACACGGAGGAAGGUGGGGAUGACGUCAAAUCAUCAUGCCCCUUACGUCUUGGGCUACACACGUGCUACAAUGGGCGCUACAAAGAGCAGCGAGACAGCAAUGUUCAGCGAAUCUCAAAAAAGCGCUCUCAGUUCGGAUUGAGGGCUGCAACCCGCCCUCAUGAAGCAGGAGUUGCUAGUAAUCCCGGAUCAGCACGCCGGGGUGAAUGCGUUCCCGGGUCUUGUACACACCGCCCGU